CCUACGGGAGGCAGCAGUGGGGAAUAUUGGACAAUGGGCGAAAGCCUGAUCCAGCAAUGCCGCGUGAGUGAUGAGGGCCUUAGGGUUGUAAAGCUCUUUUACCAGGGAUGAUAAUGACAGUACCUGGAGAAUAAGCUCCGGCUAACUCCGUGCCAGCAGCCGCGGUAAUACGGAGGGAGCUAGCGUUGUUCGGAAUUACUGGGCGUAAAGCGUACGUAGGCGGUUAUUCAAGUCAGAGGUGAAAGCCUGGAGCUCAACUCCAGAACUGCCUUUGAAACUAGAUAGCUAGAAUCUUGGAGAGGUGAGUGGAAUUCCGAGUGUAGAGGUGAAAUUCGUAGAUAUUCGGAAGAACACCAGUGGCGAAGGCGACUCACUGGACAAGUAUUGACGCUGAGGUACGAAAGCGUGGGGAGCAAACAGGAUUAGAUACCCUGGUAGUCCACGCCGUAAACGAUGAUAACUAGCUGUUCGGGCUCUACGAGCUUGAGUGGCGCAGCUACGACAUUAAGUUAUCCGUCCGUCGGGGAGGUACGGUCGCGAAGAAUUAAAACGUUAAAAGGUAAAGUUAGUACGGCGUGAGACGUCGCCGACGGACGACGACGAGGGAGGUUAGG
rnacentral:rRNA from 1 species